CGAGUCAGAUAAAUGGUCGCGCCUGCUUGUUGGCAGGUGAGGAAAGUCCGGGCUUCACAGGGCAGGAUGCCGGAUAACGUCCGGUGGAGGUGACUCCAAGGAAAGUGCAACAGAAAUAAACCGCUUCCUGCAUUUGCCGGAAGUAAGGGUGGAAAGGCGAGGUAAGGGCUCACCGCCUGGCUGGUAACAGGCAGGGCACAUGUAAACCCCAUUCGAAGCAAGACCGAAUUGAGAACCAUAAGCUUGCCCGGCUUGUUCUCAGGUGGGUCGCUGGAGCUUGCUGGUAACAGUAAGUCGAGAUAGAUGAUCAUUCAAGACAUAACCCGGCUUAUCGUCUGGCUCGUCUU
rfam:Anaerostipes sp. 992a contig000004, whole genome shotgun sequence.